UCCGUAGGCGGUGCGGCAAGUCGGAAGUGAAAUCUCAGGGCUUAACCCUGAGGCUGCUUCCGAAACUGCCGUGCUGGAGUGCGAGAGAGGCGAGUGGAAUUGCAGGUGUAGCGGUGAAAUGCGUAGAUAUCUGCAGGAACAUCCGAGGCGAAAGCGGCUCGCUGGACCGCAACUGACGCUGAGGGACGAAAGCUAGGGGAGCAAACAGGAUUAGAUACCCUGGUAGUCCUAGCCCUAAACGAUCAGGACUGGGCGUGGGCCUCGUACGGGGCUCGUGCCGCAGCUAACGCGUUAAGUCCUGCGCCUGGGGAGUACGGUCGCAAGGCUGAA
rnacentral:rRNA from 1 species